rnacentral:rRNA from 1 species
GGAUUAGAUACCCUGGUAGUCCACGCCGUAAACGAUGCGUACUAGGUCGGAGGGGUAUUCACGCCUUUCCGGUCGAAGCAAAAGCGAUAAGUACGCCGCCUGGGGAGUACGGUCGCAAGGCUAAAACUCAAAGGAAUUGACGGGGGCUCACACAAGCGGUGGAGCAUGUUGCUUAAUUCGAGGCAACGCGAAGAACCUUACCUGGGCUUGACAUGCACGGAUUAGCAUUGGGAAACCUAUGUGACGCCUUUUAGGUGGAACGUGCACAGGUGCUGCAUGGCUGUCGUCAGCUCGUGUCG